GGGAUGUGAUGAGUGGUCAUAGCUCGCAACGACGUUGUGAGAUGAGUGCCCGCCCCAAGCCUGGUUACGACACAGGGGCACUCUCUUCGGUACCAAUCUGAUCCC